CCUACGGGAGGCAGCAGUGAGGAAUAUUGGACAAUGGGCGCAAGCCUGAUCCAGCCAUGCCGCGUGCAGGAUGACGGUCCUAUGGAUUGUAAACUGCUUUUGUACAGGAAGAAACACUGGUUCGUGAACCAGCUUGACGGUACUGUAAGAAUAAGGAUCGGCUAACUCCGUGCCAGCAGCCGCGGUAAUACGGAGGAUCCAAGCGUUAUCCGGAAUCAUUGGGUUUAAAGGGUCCGUAGGCGGUUUGGUAAGUCAGUGGUGAAAGCCCAUCGCUCAACGGUGGAACGGCCAUUGAUACUGCCAGACUUGAAUUAUUAGGAAGUAACUAGAAUAUGUAGUGUAGCGGUGAAAUGCUUAGAGAUUACAUGGAAUACCAAUUGCGAAGGCAGGUUACUACUAAUUGAUUGACGCUGAUGGACGAAAGCGUGGGUAGCGAACAGGAUUAGAUACCCUGGUAGUCCACGCCGUAAACGAUGGAUACUAGCUGUUGGGAGCAAUCUCAGUGGCUAAGCGAAAGUGAUAAGUAUCCCACCUGGGGAGUACGUUCGCAAGAAUGAAACUCAAAGGAAUUGAGG
rnacentral:rRNA from 1 species